CCCAUGGGUAAAUGAAGGACUCAAAAUGGAAAAGGAAAACGAUUCAGGGGUGGUUAGGACGUAGAUUGAGGUGUCUGCGUACUCCCAUCUUUUAGGCAGGUACUUUGUCAUUCAGUAGCCAUAUCUCCCAUCCAGAGUCACUUCGCUGACAGUCAAGGUCUAAUCAUGUGUAUAUGAAUACUUGGUGUGAAAUAUUAAGAAUCAUUUGUUACUCUAUCUAUAAAUAUAUAGGUGGAUGAUGCCAUUAUGAAUGUAUGAUUGAUUUUUAUGAAUUGUUUUCAUUGGAACAGUAUUUGAAUAUUUCGAAUUUUGGAUUCUAAAUGAAUAGGGAUUAAUGUAUAAGAUCAAUUUAGUA